UACGUAGGAUGCAGGCGUUAAUCGGAAUUACUGGGCGUAAAGCGUGCGCAGGCGGUUUGCUAAGACAGGUGUGAAAGCCCCGGGCUUAACCUGGGAACUGCGUUUGAAACUGGGAGACUAGAGUGUGGCAGAGGGGGGUGGAAUUCCUGGUGUAGCAGUGAAAUGCGUAGAUAUCAGGAGGAACACCGAUGGCGAAGGCAGGUCUCUGGGCUGACACUGACGCUCAUGCACGAAAGCGUGGGGAGCAAACAGG
rnacentral:rRNA from 1 species